GACGAACGCUGGCGGCGUGCUUAACACAUGCAAGUCGAACGGAAAGGCCCUGCUUUUGUGGGGUGCUCGAGUGGCGAACGGGUGAGUAACACGUGAGUAACCUGCCCUUGACUUUGGGAUAACUUCAGGAAACUGGGGCUAAUACCGGAUAGGAGCUCCUGCUGCAUGGUGGGGGUUGGAAAGUUUCGGCGGUUGGGGAUGGACUCGCGGCUUAUCAGCUUGUUGGUGGGGUAGUGGCUUACCAAGGCUUUGACGGGUAGCCGGCCUGAGAGGGUGACCGGCCACAUUGGGACUGAGAUACGGAGCAGACUCCUACGGGAGGCAGCAGGGGGGAAUAUUGCACAAUGGGCGGAAGCCUGAUGCAGCAACGCCGCGGUCGGGAUGACGGCCUUCGGGUUGUAAACCGCUUUCGCCUGUGACGAAGCGUGAGUGACGGUAAUGGGUAAAGAAGCACCGGCUAACUACGUG
rnacentral:rRNA from 1 species